rnacentral:tRNA from 1 species
GCCUGGAUAGCUCAGUUGGUUAGAGCGUGAUGCUGAUGAUACCAAGGUUGCAGGUUCGAUCCCCGUCCGGGACA